AGUGAACGCUGGCGGCGUGCCUAAUACAUGCAAGUCGAACGAUGAAGCUCUAGCUUGCUAGAGUGGAUUAGUGGCGCACGGGUGAGUAAUGCAUAGGUUAUGUGCCCUUUAGUCUAGGAUAGCCAUUGGAAACGAUGAUUAAUACUGGAUACUCCCUACGGGGGAAAGUUUUUCGCUAAAGGAUCAGCCCAUGUCCUAUCAGCUUGUUGGUGAGGUAAUGGCUCACCAAGGCUAUGACGGGUAUCCGGCCUGAGAGGGUGAACGGACACACUGGAACUGAGACACGGUCCAGACUCCUACGGGAGGCAGCAGUAGGGAAUAUUGCUCAAUGGGGGAAACCCUGAAGCAGCAACGCCGCGUGGAGGAUGAAGGUUUUCGGAUUGUAAACUCCUUUUCUAAGAGAAGAUUAUGACGGUAUCUUAGGAAUAAGCACCGGCUAACUCCGUGCCAGCAGCCGCCGCCG
rnacentral:rRNA from 1 species